rnacentral:tRNA from 1 species
GAGAACAUAACUCAGUGGUAGAGCACAUGCUUAGCAUGCAUGAGGUCCUGGGUUCAAACCCCAGUACCUCCA